CACCUAUAAACGCCAGGGAAUUACGAGCCAAGCUUAAAACCCAAAGGACUUGACGGUGUCCCAACCAACUAGAGGAGCCUGUCCUAUAAUCGAUGAUCCACGUUUCACCUGACCCCCCCUUGCCUUUCAGCCUGUAUACCUCCGUCGUAAAUCCGCCAUAUGAAUGUUUUCAGCGGAUCCAAUGACCUCCCCGUAAAUACGUCAGGUCAAGGUGCAGCCCAUGGAGGGAGGAAGUGAUGGGCUACAAUUUCUAGUAUAGAACA
rnacentral:rRNA from 1 species